CCUAUGGAGUGCUAUUUUGAAGAAUAUUUGUGCUCAAUAAUAGUGAAAGUCAGAAGAAAAUUUGGUGAAAAGGGGACAGGGGUUUAGAGAAACGUGCGCAACUAUUAUGAAUGGAAUUUGUCCAUCAGAGUGUUUGGUUUUACUGGAUGACCACCCGAUCCAUUUGUUCCUCAGUACCUGGACUACAAUAGCCUUAAUUUCUGAUGCACACUAUGGAGAUUGUACCCUUUCUUCCCUGUGGCUAGCACAUUACCUUCUCCAAAGAAACAACUCUGUCAUAAAAUCAUGGGUGCUCAUCUGACUUUUGGCCUCAGGAUCCAACUGAGAAGCAACAAUGUUCCCUGAAUUUGACAGCUUCCUAACCUGUAAGAUUAAAUUCCUCACAACCAGUUGUUGAUGUUCA
rnacentral:lncRNA from 1 species